UCAAAAAGGGGUAAAAAAGUUUCUUUAGGGUCGGCAAUGUACGCGUAAUACCCCUGGUAUUGCAGGCGUUCAUAAGCUUCGAUAACCACUUACCAUCAGAUGGGCCGUAUGCUUGAUUGCCAUUCAGUGGUAUAAAAAAAUCGCCAAAAUUUGCCUCCUUAAACCGCCCGCUAAGCGUGCCAACAACUAGCAAAACCCCUUUACGAAGAGGCCUACGUUCAGCAGUGGACAUUUAACAGCUGAUGUCAUGAAACCUAUUAGGUUUUAUUUUUGCAUUUACACUAUUAUGUCGCCAUCUUGACGUCAUAUACCAUAAACGGCAGGUAUAAAAUUAUCAUUUUAAUAAAAAUCGCAAAAAUACUAUUGUUAUAUUUCAGUAUUUACCAUUGCAAAAAUAUACAAAUAGCUAUUUUAACACUAAACAUUCCAAAUUAAUUUAUCUACGAGGUUUAGCAACAUGGAAUCAACUUGUCUCUAGGAUGAGUGACUAUGGCGUAUUCAUAUUUUUUGUAAUAAACCGUUCGCGGAUAACACAGCCUUGGUCAAAAGUAUUUUCCACCCUAAAAAUCCUUAGAAUUUUUUUUAUCUUCUAACCUGUACUGGGUCUAUUGUUGCAUCGUACACGUCUAAAGGGUAAAAUAAACCAAUCAAAACAACGCACCGUGUCAUAAAACUAUAAACACAAUAGAGAUGAUUUAUUUCCAGCUAAGUCGAAUUUUAGAGAAAUUUUUAGAUUACUGUGAUUCAUCAUAGCGUGAAGAACUGUCGACAAAUUACUAAAAAAAAAUUUCAUAAAAAAAACUAGAAAAAUGCCUCAGAGUUGUAAAUUAAGUAACGAGGAACGAUUAAAAAUCCAGUUGUUGUCUGAAGACGGCAAAAAUAAAAGUGAAAUUGCCAAGAUUAUGAAAUGUCCUUAUAGUACCGUAAGGUAUAUCUAAAUCGGUACAAGAUGAUUGCAAAACACGGAAACUGGAAACGAAGUGGAAGGAAAAGAAUUACAUGUGCAAGAGAAGACAGACAGUUAAUGCGAACUUUGAAAAAUCAUAAAAAAAAAACUUCUGAAUUAUUUGCUGAAUCAAGCUAAACGCUUAGGAAAAAACUUUAUGCUAGAACUGCUAGAAGAAGGCUCCAGGAUGCUGGGCCCAAGGGUUGCAAGGCAAGGAAGAAGCCAUGGUUGUCUGAGAAGAACAAGAACCUACGGUUGCAGUAGUAUUUAGAACAUCAAUAUUACAACGAGGAAGAUUGGGCGAAUAUCAUUUGGUCGGAUGAAUCCAAAUUUAAGGUAUUUGGUACUGUAGGUGCCACCAACGUGAGACGCAGAGUUGGCGAAGAAUUCAUACCGGAGAGUGUGGCGCCUACUGUAAAACACGGCAGAGGCAGUGUUAUGUUCUCAGAGUCUUCCUUAGAAAUUAGAUAAAUGGUCAUAUGUGAAGGCCGAAUAAAUUCGAAAAAAUAUAUCGAGAUGUCGAAAACAGCGCUCAACCGUAAAGCAGUUGUUUGCAUGGCUGUGUUUCGGUUUGAAGAGUAGGAUAUGGCGUGAAUUUACUGGGUACGGAGGAAUAACACCUGAGUCCUCAGGAAUAGCAACGCAUGGGGGGUAUCAUGAGCGAAAUAGUAUACUCUAUUAUGUCCAUGGUACUGCUCAUGUCUAUAGGCGACGGUUACCACUUUCCAUCAGGUGGGUCGUCAGCUUGUUUGCCAUUCUAAGUUGUAUAAAAAAAAUGUUCGGUGAUACCAAUCUAGAUGGCAACCGAUUUCAACAAGAUGCAUUAUCUUGUCUCCAUGCCAUUAGUCCUGAACCAAAAUAAGUUAGUUUGAGAAAAAUUGUUUACAGCUUCUAAGUUGGCCCCCUCAGUCACCGGAUCUUAACCCUUCUGAACAUUAAUGGUCGAUUUUAAAGCGCAAAAUAAAGGAACAUUCAAUUGCUUCCAAAGAAAGUUUAAAGAAUUGUUAGGUACAGAAGUAGAAUGCCAUAACUCCAGAAGAAUGUAAAAAUUUAAUUUCCUCUUUACCCAAAAGAAGAAAUGCUGUAAUUAAAGUUAAGGAUUUCAAAACGAAAUGUAAAUAUAAUUGUAGCAUUAUUAACAUUUACAAAGGUUUUUUAAGUAUAUGGUUUUCUAUUCCCGUCCAAACAUUAGGUAUUUUUUUAAGUUAAUUGUAAUUUUCUAAUGUAGCAAAUACUUUUGGCCAAGCUGUACAGUAUCCGGCCAAAUGAUUACCCGUUCUAUUAAAAUAAAAUACAAACAAAAAAUUGAAUGCAAGCCUGUUAAUCAAAAAACAUAUCCCAUCAUUGACAUAAAAAGUAAAAAAUGCCAAGUCUCGUUACAUAGUUCUUCCACUACAAAAAGUUACGAAAUGUCAUAUAAAACCAAGUCAGUUAUAGUUAGUAUCUAUGGAAGCACCCGUUUAACAACUUUGUUAUAAAUUGUUACAUUUCAUUUCUAUAAUAAUUAUAUGGCAUGGCAAUUGGUAACAUAUUCUGUUCAUAAAAUUUUUUGUUCUUAAAUGCACUGUUUAGAUUUAAUUAAUAAUAGAAAUAAUAGAUCAUUAUAAUUCUUAUAGAAAUAAAAUUUUUCUAAUAUUGAUACGGUCGCUAUAAAUGUUGAUAGGUAAUUGUUUAGGUAACAAUUUUGUUGAAUAGAUGCUUAGAUAAGCAUUAAUUAAAGUAACUAACUGGGUUUUACAUGAGGUCUCACAACUUUUUUUGUGAACGAAUCCGUUCAACACUUUAUGUAAUUUCAACACUGCAUAUUAAUAGGAUAAUUGUCAAAAAAUUAUCUUCUAUAAAUCUUUAUUAUAAUCUCUAUAAAUUUAUAAUAAACACUGGACAUACAAACAUUUACUCAUUUCUAUACAAAUAUUAGAAAUUACUAAUAUUUAUAGCACACGCCGUUGCUGAUCACUCAAAAUUCAACUUAACUUUUUAAUAAAGUGACUGUACUUGUGUCUAAUGAACUUUUUUUGCGUUACGGGAUUUGGCAUUUUUUCCAUUUUAUAUUUUUGAUGGGAUCUCAGUUCUUUUUGUAGGUCAUUCUCCUUUUUUCUUUUUUUCAUAUAUAUUAUACGUCAGCUACAAGCGCGAUGCGUUUUUUGAACAAGUGAACGUAAUUUUUAAUAAUAAUUAUUAUUCAUUUAAUGAAAAUAAAUAAUGAAAUUUCAGGAUUAUUUUUUUCUUCCUUUAUAGGCUAAAUGCUAAUUAAAAUACAAAAUAUGAAGUUUGAAAGAUUGCUAAAAGUACCUUAGGAUUUUGUUGAUCGUUGUGUGUGUGUGUUUUAGUGACAAAAUUAAACAAAAUUUAAUUAGCAAUAUUUCAUAAACUAUAUGGUAUAUUGUCUGUGUAAAUUUAAAAAAAUGCUUUAUCCACAAUGAAGUGGGGAGGAGGUCAAAAGUACCUUGAGUCGCUUAGAGAAAAGUAUGGUACAGCAGUGCCGGACUCGGCGGGGGCACUGCCAUUUCCUCUGAUAUAAUUAAAAGUUAACUUGCGUAACAAGAGUAUUAAAUACUAGUUACUCAUACAAGUACCUUAACAUAUUGUUAUAAAAAAAUAUAGGUCUUAAAUUUACGUAACAUAAUGUGUCUUUAAUUAAUUACUCUAUAUAUUAUAUCCAAUAAUACUCAUACAUAACCUACAUUAUGUAUAUAUAAUAUCGGGAUAUACACACGAGAGCAAUGAAUCCGGGUCACUUAAAAAACCUAUAAAUCUCGGAAAAUAAAAAUGCUAGCUUAAUGAAAUAAAUUGUGUUUAGUUUACUUCUUAGUUACUGCAAAAUUAUGUCAUAAAAAAAAUCAAACUUGAAAAAGUGAGACUUUCGAAGAUGGAUCUACGAAAUUACUGCAUUUGAUUUUGAUUUUGUUUCUAAUUUGUCAUUACCAACAUGGUUUAUAUACACACUUAGGAUAUAUAAACCAUGUUGAUAGUGUUCAAUAUUUAUUAUUCAACCUGUAAUCCUGUCACUUACAACUGAAGAAUGCACCAAAAUCCUCACAAUGCUGGAAGCCGGCCGGAGUCAGCGCGAUACAAUCAGGACUGUCGGUGUAACGCUGUCAACAGUACAAAGAGUUCUCCGACGUUACGAGGAAACUGGCUCUAAUCUACGUAGACCAGGAACAGGCAGAACUAGGUGUACCACAGCACGAGAAGGUCGAUACUUGGUGAACACCAUGUUUCGUAAUCGCUUUCUCACAGGAACUGAACUUAUAUAUCAGUUCCGACGCCUCAGAGGAAGUAAGCUAAGCGCAGGGACAGUAAGACAACGACUUGCUAAAGCUAACUUGAAACCACUUAGACCUGCAAAUAGACCUAAACUGGAGCGUGGUGAUCGUAUUUCAAGACUACAAUAUGCCUAGAAUUUAUUGAAGAUUGGUCGAAAAUUAUAUUCUCCGACGAAUCAAAAUUUAUGCACUACAAACACAAUGGAAGACAUAGAGUGUAUAGAGACCAGGGGAAAUACUCAAGCAAGCAUGCAUAAAAGAAAAAGUAGCCUACGGUGGUGGAUCUGUACUUGUAUGGGCCAGAAUUUCAUCUGAGAGUCGCACAGAACUGGUGUUUAUAGAAAACGACUCUUUAACUAGCAUCAAAUAUCAUAAAAUAUGUAGAAGAGAGAACACGUUGGGCCAUUUAUGGUCAAUUUGGGUGACGAUGCUAUUUUUAUCCAUAACAAUGCCCGACCUCAUACAGGUUUCAUUGUGAAUGACUACCUACAAGAGAUGAACAUUACUCGUAUGGAGUGGACAUCAAGCAGCCCGGAUAUCAACCCGAUCGAGCUUGCAUAAGACAAGUUAGGGAGAUAUCGUAAAACCACGAAACCCUCCCCAAAUCACGUUUCGUGAGCUCAAAAUUGCUCUCACAGAGGAAUGGGAGAAUAUUUGCCAAAAUCGUAUAAAAAACUUGGUGUAUAGUAUGCCAAACCCGCUUAAACGCAGUAAUAGAAGCACGCGGAGGCAAUACAAAUUAUUAGGUAUUAAAAUUCAAGAAAAUCAUAUUGUUGUACAAAAGUGACUUUACCUAUUUUUGUUUUAAGGCAAGAUCAGCAGUUUUUUUUUUUCUUUAUGUAAUUUUUAAUAAAUAAAAUGCAGUGACUUAUAAAUUUUAUUACUUUCAUUUAAGGGGUAUUAUAUUGUAUAUUAAACACCGUUUAUUUUAUUAAGCUAGCAUUCUUAGUUUCCAAGAUUUAUAGAUUUCUUUAGGUGACCCGCAUUCAUUGCUCUCGAGUGUAGGUACACACUUACACAGCUUGAAAAUUGAUAACAAAAAGGUCAACUCAGUGCAAGAAAGAUAAAAAAUUAAAGGUGAGUAGUGAUUGGACAGAUUCAAAGAUUAGGGUUGAAUUGUUUACACAGUUAUUUAUCUGAGUUUAUAACAAAACUAACUGUGGUGUGAUAUAAAUAAGUGCAAUAAAUAUAGCUACCGUUA